CCCGAUAGGACUAUCCACCUGAAAUGGUUUGUGUUCCAAAUGAUUUAUCGCCGUAGGAUGGGACUGCGGCCUAUCAGUUUGUUGGUGAGGUAAUGGCCCACCAAGACUAUUACAGGUACGGGCUCUGAGAGGAGUAGCCCGGAGAUGGGUACUGAGACACGGACCCAGGCCCUAUGGGGCGCAGCAGGCGAGAAAACUUUGCAAUGUGCGAAAGCACGACAAGGUUAAUCCGAGUGAUUUCUGCUAAAGAAACCUUUUGUUAGUCCUAGAAACACUAACGAAUAAGGGGUGGGCAAGUUCUGGUGUCAGCCGCCGCGGUAAAACCAGCACCUCAAGUGGUCAGGAUGAUUAUUGGGCCUAAAGCAUCCGUAGCCGGCUCUGUAAGUUUUCGGUUAAAUCUGUACGCUCAACGUACAGGCUGCCGGGAAUACUGCAGAGCUAGGGAGUGGGAGAGGUAGACGGUACUCGGGAGGAAGUGGUAAAAUGCUUUGAUCUCUCGAUGACCACCUGUGGCGAAGGCGGUCUACCAGAACACGUCCGACGGUGAGGGAUGAAAGCUGGGGGAGCAAACCGGAUUAGAUACCCGGGUAGUCCCAGCUGUAAACUAUGCAAACUCAGUGAUGCAUUGGCUUGUGGCCAAUACAGUAUUGCAGGGAAGCCGUUAAGUUUGCCGCCUGGGAAGUACGUACGCAAGUAUGAAACUUAAAGGAAUUGGCGGGGGAGCACCACAAGGGGUGAAGCCUGCGGUUCAAUUGGAUUCAACGCCGGAAAUCUUACCCGGAGAGACAGCAGAAUGAAGGUCAAGCUGAAGACUUUACCAGACAAGCUGAGAGGUGGUGCAUGGCCGUCGCCAGCUCGUGCCGUGAGAUGUCCUGUUAAGUCAGGUAACGAGCGAGAUCC
rnacentral:rRNA from 1 species